rnacentral:rRNA from 1 species
AGAAUCAACGCUGGCGGCGUGCCUAACACAUGCAAGUCGAACGAGAAAGUGGAGCAAUCCAUGAGUAAAGUGGCGCACGGGUGAGUAACACGUGACUAACCUACCCUUGAGUGGGGGAUAACCUAGAGAAAUCUGGGCUAAUACCGCAUAAUACCUUCGGGUCAAAGGAGCAAUUCGCUUAAGGAGGGGGUCGCGGCCGAUUAGUUAGUUGGCGGGGUAAUGGCCCACCAAGACUGUGAUCGGUAUCCGGCCUGAGAGGGCGCACGGACACACUGGAACUGAAACACGGUCCAGACUCCUACGGGAGGCAGCAGUGGGAAUUUUGCGCAAUGGGGGAAACCCUGACGCAGCAACGCCGCGUGGAGGAUGAAGCCCCUUGGGGCGUAACUCCUUUCGAUCGGGAAGAUAAUGACGGUACCGAGAGAAGAAGCCCCGGCUAACUUCGUGCCAGCAGCCGC